UCACGCAUCGCGUCUCCCCCAAAAUCCACCCUUGGUGGAGGGGAAGGAGGAUGGUCUCCCGUGACUCACCGGUCGCGGCUGGCCUAAAAUUGGAGCCCUCGGCAUCGGGAUGCCGCGGCGAUAGGUGGUGAACAAGGCCUCGGCCAAGCAAGCAACCCGUCGCGCAUGCCGUGCCAAUGCGGGCUCGCAGGACCCUUUGUCGUUGCCUUUAAGGCAACCAAACCGUUGCGAC
rnacentral:rRNA from 1 species